AACGAACGCUGGCGGAAUGCUUUACACAUGCAAGUCGAACGGUAGAGGGGCAACCCUCGAGAGUGGCGAACGGGUGAGUAAUGUAUCGGAACAAGCCCAAUCGUGGGGGAUAACGUAGCGAAAGUUACGCUAAUACCGCAUACGAUCUACGGAUGAAAGCGGGGGAUCGCAAGACCUCGCGCGAUUGGAGUGGCCGAUAUCAGAUUAGGUGGUUGGCGGGGUAAAGGCCUACCAAGCCGACGAUCUGUAGCUGGUCUGAGAGGACGACCAGCCACACUGGGACUGAGACACGGCCCAGACUCCGACGGGAGGCAGCAGUGGGGAAUUUUGGACAAUGGGCGCAAGCCUGAUCCAGCCAUUCCGCGUGCAGGAAGAAGGCCUUCGGGUUGUAAACUGCUUUUGUACGGAACGAAACGCGCUGUGCUAAUACCACGGCGUAAUGACGGUACCGUAAGAAUAAGCACCGGCUAACUACGUGCCAGCCGCCGCAGUAA
rnacentral:rRNA from 1 species